AACGAACACUGGCGGCAUGCCUAACACAUGCAAGUCGAGCGAGACCUUCGGGCCUAGUGGCGCACGGGUGCGUAACGCGUGGGAACAUGCCCUUAGGUUCGGAAUAACUCCCCGAAAGGGGUGCGAAUACCGGAUAAUGUCUUCGGACCAAAGAUUGAUCGCCUUUGGAUGGGCCCGCGUUGGAUUAGCUAGUUGGUAGGGUAAACGCCUACCAAGGCGACGAUCCAUAGCUGGUCUGAGAGGAUGAUCAGCGACACUGGGACUGAGCCGCGGCCCAGAAUCCUACGGGAGGCAGCAGUGGGGAAUAUUGGACAGUGGGCGAAAGGCUGAUCCAGCUAUGCCGCGUGAGUGAUGAAGGCCUUAGGGUUGUAAAGCUCUUUUACCCGGGAUGAUAAUGACAGUACCGGGAGAAUAAGCUCCGGCUAACUCCGUG
rnacentral:rRNA from 1 species